GGUGUGUUGGCCGAGUGGUUAAGGCGGCAGACUUAAGAUCUGUUGGACGGUUGUCCGCACGAGUUCGAACCUCGUACGCACCA
rnacentral:tRNA from 1 species